rnacentral:rRNA from 1 species
UCGAGAAUUUUUCACAAUGGGCGAAAGCCUGAUGGAGCGACGCCGCGUGGGGGAUGAAUGGCUUCGGCCCGUAAACCCCUGUCAUUCGCGAACAAAUUGGUUCAUUUAAUACCUGAACCAUUGAUAGUAGCGGAAGAGGAAGGGACGGCUAACUCUGUGCCAGCAGCCGCGGUAAUACAGAGGUCCCAAGCGUUGUUCGGAUUCACUGGGCGUAAAGGGUGCGUAGGCGGUCGGGUAAGUCUGAUGUGAAAUCUCUGGGCUCAACCCAGAAAUGGCAUUGGAUACUAUUCGGCUUGAGGUCUGGAGGGGGGACUGGAAUUCUCGGUGUAGCAGUGAAAUGCGUAGAUAUCGAGAGGAACACCAGUGGCGAAGGCGAGUCCCUGGACAGGUCCUGACGCUGAGGCACGAAAGCUAGGGGAGCAAACAGGAUUAGAUACCCCCGUAGUCC